rnacentral:misc_RNA from 1 species
CCACCUGAACCAGCGCCGGUAGCCGAGGCUCCAGCAUUAGUCUCCAGGCGGGCAGCAGUGAACGUGCGCAUAGAGGAGUCAUUAUCAAACUCGUCUUCAUCAUCGUCAACGACAGCGUCUGAAUCGUCNNNNNNNNNNNGUCAGCUCCACGGGCCGAGAUGCUCUCCAGGUCAUCAUUGGACGUCAGUGCUCCAUCUCGAGUGUCAGCGGAAAAAGAAGACGGAGGAAAUGGAGGGGCGUGGUCUUCAGACGCAGCCGAGGCGGCUGCUGCCAACUUCCGUUUAUGAAUGGACGAAGUGGCGGGGGCGGGAGCAGAGGGGGGGGGGNAGAGUGAGAGGGGGACGGAGACUGGGAGCUGCGAGAGCGGUUGGGUAUGGUUAGGUGAGAGUGAGAAUCCAUAGACUCGAACUGAGUUGACUCGGCCCGGAAUUUGGAAGCUGGCGAGUUAGGG